ACUUGAGAGGAGCCGUCCUCUCCCUGAAGCCUCGUGGUGGAACAGCUGUCUGACCCGUUCAAAAGGGAAGGAUGAAAUCUCUUCACAGGCACGCGAUGUGAAUGGAAGAGGCCUGUCACUAUGCGAACAGUACGGCACUCUGAACACAGACUAAAGACAGCUCUCAUCUCAAAGAACCCAGCGCUUGUGUCACAGUAUGAGAAGUUAGAUGCUGGGGAAAAGCGUCUGAUGGACGAAGCCUUCCGGCCAAACAGAUCUCUUUGGACCCAUUAUUUUGCAUUCGCAGUCAGACUGGAUAACCUCCCAUCCUGAGGCUCCCCAAGACUUUGAAGAGUUUUUCAAUGAUCCUUACAGAAAGACACCUUCUCCACAGAAGCACAAUAUUUAUAUACAGUGCAUUGGAUUGCUAGGAAACACCAGAAGUAUCAGUGAAGAAUAUGUGAAAUGGCUCAAGGGCUACUGUGAAGCAUUUUUCUAUGGCUUGACGGUAAAACUCCUAGAACCAGUUCCUGUCUCUGCAACGAGAUGUUCCUUUAGAAUCAAUGAUAACACGCAGAACCUACGGAUUCAUGCAGGGCAGAUCCUGAAGGUCUUAAAAAAGAAGAAACUUGAAGAUGCUUUUUGUGUUGUGGGAAUAACAAUGAUCGAUCUUUACCCAAGAGACUCCUGGAAUUUUGUCUUUGGACAGGCCUCUUUGACAGAUGGUGUGGAGAUACUCAGCUUUGCCAGGUGCGGCAGUGAUUUUUACAGCUCACACUACAAAGGCAAACUGAAGAAGCUGCAGAAGAAAUCUUCAAGUGACUACUCAGUUUUUGAUAAUUAUUAUGUUCCUGAAGUGACUAGUGUUUUGCUGCUUUGGUCCUAUAAGACUUUAACCCAUGAGAUUGGACAUAUCUAUGGACUUCAGCACUGCCAGUGGCUCGCAUGCCUGACGCAAGGCUCCAACCACUUGGAAGAAGCUGACUAGCGUCCCCUCGACCUUUGCCCCAUCUGUUUACGCAGAGUGCUAUCGGCUUCCACCUUAAAGACAGAUACAAAGGGACACGGGUUCCAGCCCUGGCCCGGGAAGAUCCCACAUGCCGCGGAGCAACUAAGCCCGUGCGCCACAACUACUGAGCCUGCACUCU